rnacentral:rRNA from 1 species
GAUGGUAGCUUGCUACCAGGCGUCGAGCGGCGGACGGGUGAGUAAUACUUAGGAAUCUACCUAGUAGUGGGGGAUAGCACGGGGAAACUCGUAUUAAUACCGCAUACGACCUACGGGAGAAAGGGGGCAGUUUACUGCUCUCGCUAUUAGAUGAGCCUAAGUCGGAUUAGCUAGAUGGUGGGGUAAAGGCCUACCAUGGCGACGAUCUGUAGCUGGUCUGAGAGGAUGAUCAGCCACACCGGGACUGAGACACGGCCCGGACUCCUACGGGAGGCAGCAGUGGGGAAUAUUGGACAAUGGGGGAAACCCUGAUCCAGCCAUGCCGCGUGUGUGAAGAAGGCCUUUUGGUUGUAAAGCACUUUAAGCAGUGAAGAAGACUCUUCGGUUAAUACCCGGAGACGAUGACAUUAGCUGCAGAAUAAGCACCGGCUAACUCUGUGCCAGCAGCCGCGGUAAUACAGAGGGUGCAAGCGUUAAUCGGAAUUACUGGGCGUAAAGCGAGCGUAGGUGGCUUGAUAAGUCAGAUGUGAAAUCCCCGGGCUUAACCUGGGAACUGCAUCUGAAACUGUUAGGCUAGAGUAGGUGAGAGGGAAGUAGAAUUUCAGGUGUAGCGGUGAAAUGCGUAGAGAUCUGAAGGAAUACCGAUGGCGAAGGCAGCUUCCUGGCAUCAUACUGACACUGAGGCUCGAAAGCGUGGGUAGCAAACAGGAUUAGAUACCCUGGUAGUCCACGCCGUAAACGAUGUCUACUAGUCGUUGGGUCCCUUGAGGACUUAGUGACGCAGCUAACGCAAUAAGUAGACCGCCUGGGGGAGUACGGCCGCAAGGUUAAAACU